UGCCCCCUCCGCUCCGACAGGUGUAGGCCUUUCAGGCUCCGGGCUUCCUUGUAAAGGGAUCGAAAGCCUCUGGUCGAUAUGGACUCUCGAGUUGGGGAGACAGUGAAGAUGGAGCCUCAAGCUCAAGACCCCUUGAUUAAGACAAGGCUGAAUCCAUGUCCAGGAGAAAUGCCACCUAGCAUGUUAACGAGCCGGUAAUGUUCGUUGCCCACCGACAGGAAGGCAGGCGUGGGAUGAACCUCGUCUUCCCUGAAGUGGACAGGAUGGAAAUGGGAAUCUGGCUGCUCGGUAGAGCUGCACUUGGUGUACAAUUCGCGACGCAUUUCCUGGCCGACUUCAACCUGGGAGGGAGUGCUACGGACCCAGCGGUUCUUCACUAAGGAAUAGAUGUAGCUGACAGGCGGUGUACGUGGGCCCUUUGAAGACCAUGCGGAGCAAACUGGCUGCCAGAAGACUGACCAUCGCCAGCAAACACACAUAUUUCCAAAGAGAUACAUCAGGAGCAACUCUGGGUUCAUUAUCCUGCCAAGAUUACCUUGACAUGAAGCCUGGAAGAGCUACCAACAUUUCAAUUUGUAGACAUCCUGCUCCAUCCUGCUGAGCCACUGUGAGAAGGUCCACUAAAAAUAUUUCUGCCCAUUUUGGAAGAUGCGUUGUCAGUGCAGGUGUCCAUGUUUAAGAUGGCUAGCUAACAUCAGCAGCUUUUUCCCAGCCAUUGAUUUUGCGUGUCUGUUUCUUAGUGUUAAUGUGUACUAAAAUGUUAUAAUCACUGUAGAAGAUUAUAGUACUGUCAGAUACACAAAAAGUUUAGAAUAAUUGAAAAUGCAGUUAUUAAUUUCCAUCGAAUACAUUUAAGACAAGCUGUCAAGUAAGCACAGUGAAUAUAUGGAAAAAUACUAAUGUAAGUGGGAACAUGGCAUGUCUGAGCCCGCGCUGGAAUGGUAGCGCUGGGCAGGAUGGCUGCUGUGUUUGCUUCGGAUUACUCCUCACCCCCCACCCGACCCUGUGGCUUGUCACGUGUU